rnacentral:lncRNA from 1 species
CCUCUGCUACUGGUUUUCAGCAGAGUGCCCAAAAAUAAUCAGUGCACGCACUAUAGGCUCUAUUAUUAUCAGUAAAAAGUAUUAAUGAUAUAUAUUGGGAUCGACUUUUUUAUUUGGGAGUGGAAGCAUGCUUGAAAGAGUAGAGUGGUGCAUCUUGUUCAAACAUGCCAAUUCCAUCUUAUGAAAUAGGAGUUAGACUGAACAAUGUUAUGUCUUCAUUAUCAUUUCAGAAGGAAACAAAUCAAAUGCAGCAAUUGAUGUACGAGUUGCUGUUGGCGCUGCUAUAUUUUUUACAGACUCUCAUACCAUGGAAAAACUCAGCUUUAAAGAAUGGUAUGAUGCUUUGAUUUAUGAAGUAAUUGGUAUAUAUUUUGUACCUUCCAUACAUUUUGCUCUGUUAAUGUUAUUAUUUGAUAACAUGUUUGUCGAGUUGCACAGUGUCUAGAAUUUUGAGAUUAAGAAGAGUCUAAAUGCUAUACAAAUACACUCCUUUCAUUUUAUACAACUUUGAUUGAUCAUUGUUUUAAAUUUACCUCAGGCAUCAAUGGAGUCUAUCCGAGUCUCCUUUGCUGGGGAAUCAGUCAAAUAACAGCACAGGUGCAUAUGUUCUAUCUCUUUUCAUUUAAAACUUCAAUUGAGUUGCUAUCUAUUUAACUUUGGCAAGUGAGAGAGAGGGAUGGGACCGUCCAAUUAAAUUUAAGUUUCAAGUGGCAAUCCCACCACUGUCGUCUCAUGUUUGCCAAAUUCAAAUUUGAAAAUCUCACCAAGUCAGUAUGGUGAUGUUGUGGGAUUGUCUCGCCUAGGUUUUUAGCCUCAUGACCUCCUUUAUUAGAAAAAGUCUUAAGUGUUCUUACUCAAUGGUAGAAUCAUGAUUUUACUUCAAUGGAAGCCAUACUGAUUAAAAUAUACUCUUUUGAUCAACUACUUAUUUGAUGUUGCUCUCUCAACCUUAAUCUCCUUCUUUAUGAAAAAUUUAUUGUAAUACAUGGAAGUAUAUAUUGCACUGAGUAAAAUGAAAUUGUUCAAAAAUUAACAAAUUCAGCUUUAUUAUAAUCUAAAACAAAGUA